rfam:Aedes aegypti strain Liverpool supercont1.65 genomic scaffold, whole genome shotgun sequence.
GGCUCGGUAGCUUAGUUGCGCUCGUCUAGCAUACAAGAGUCCUGGGUUCAAAUCCCAGCUGAGCAC